UACGUAGGUGACAAGCGUUGUCCGGAUUUACUGGGCGUAAAGAGCGCGCAGGCGGUCGUUUCAAGUCGAGUGUGAAAGCCCCCGGCUCAACUGGGGAGGGUCACUCGAUACUGAUCGACUCGAAGGCAGGAGAGGGUAGUGGAAUUCCCGGUGUAGUGGUGAAAUGCGUAGAUAUCGGGAGGAACACCAGUGGCGAAGGCGACUACCUGGCCUGUUCUUGACGCUGAGGCGCGAAAAGCUAGGGGAGCAAACGGG
rnacentral:rRNA from 1 species